GACGAACCGAGCGAACGUUGUUCGGAAUCACUGGGCUUAAAGGGCGCGUAGGCGGGUGAUCAAGUCCGGGGUGAAAUCCUCCAGCUCAACUGGAGAACUGCCUCGGAUACUGGUUACCUCGAGGAAGGUAGGGGUGUGUGGAACGUUCAGUGGAGCGGUGAAAUGCAUUGAUAUUGAACGGAACUCCGGUGGCGAAGGCGACACACUGGACCUUUUCUGACGCUGAGGCGCGAAAGCUAGGGGAGCAAACGGG
rnacentral:rRNA from 1 species